rnacentral:rRNA from 1 species
GCCAAAAAUCUAGCCUGCAGCAAUUUCAUACACACACUUUUCUACGGGGAUAAAAUAAAACAUUUUAACUUUAUAGUAGAGGUGAUCAAAAAAUAUCUAAGCGCCUAAGAAAAAGUACCGAAAGGGAAAGAUGAAAUAGAAAUGAAAUAAAUUUAAAGCUAAACAAAGCAGAGAUUCAAACUCGUACCUUUUGCAUCAUGGUCCAGCCAGUCCAACCAAGCAAAACGAAAAUUUUAGUUUGCACCCCCGAAACUAAGCGAGCUACUUCAAAACAGCUUCAAGAGCCAACCCAUCUCUGUAGCAAUAGAGUGGGAAGAUUUUCAAGUAGAAGUGACAAGCCUAACGAGCUCAGAGAUAGCUGGUUGUUCAGGAAAAGAAUAUUAGUUCUGCCUUAAAUUUUUUUACGCCACAAAGCGGGCCCCAAAAUUUAAGAGUCAUUCAAUUAAGGCACAGCUUACUUGAAAUAGGAUACAACCUAUACACUAGGGUAAACAUUAGAUAGUUCAUAAAGUGGGCCUAAAAGCAGCCACCUUCCAAAAAGCGUUAAAGCUUAAUCUAUUUUACUGCUAAAUCUCAAAAAAUCUCAUGAACCCCCACCCCCCACUGAACGACUCCAUAAACUAUGGAAAACACUAUGCUGGAACUAGUAACAAGAAUUUAAAAUUCUCCAAAAUGCAAGCAUAACCCAGAAUGGAUAGACCACCGGCUAUUAACGUAAAUGAACCCAUUACAGCAACACAACAAGAAAAACCUGUUUAUUAUACCGUUAACCUAACACCAGAGCAUGUUAGGAAAGAUUAAAAGAGAGAGAAGGAACUCGGCAAACUCCAACCCCGCCUGUUUACCAAAAACAUCGCCUCUUGCCCAAACAUAAGAGGUCCAGCCUGCCCAGUGAAAAAUUUAACGGCCGCGGUACCCUAACCGUGCGAAGGUAGCAUAAUCACUUGUUCUUUAAAUGGGGACUAGUAUCAACGGCAUCACGAGGGUUGCACUGUCUCCUCCCUCCAAUCAGUGAAACUGAUCUCCCCGUGAAGAAGCGGGGAUGUAAUAAUAAGACGAGAAGACCCCAUGGAGCUUUAAAUCUAACAGCAACUCUAACACUUAAUGCCCUACAACCGCAGAGCCGUGCAUGAAGAUUUUAGGUUGGGGCGACCGCGGAGCAAAAAUCACCCUCCACGACGAAAGGGGCUAAACCCUUAUCCUAGAGCCACCGCUCUAAGAAUUAGCACACUAACGAACUGUGACCCGAUAAUCGAUCAACGGACCAAGUUACCCUGGGGAUAACAGCGCAAUCUACUUCAAGAGCCCGUAUCGACAAGUAGGCUUACGACCUCGAUGUUGGAUCAGGGUACCCCAGUGGUGCAGCCG